rnacentral:rRNA from 1 species
AUGGCCUCCGCCUCCGCCGCCGCCGCCGCCACCCGGGCGAACAGCCUCUCCCGCAUCUUCUCCUCCUCCUCGCCAACCGUCAAACUACCCAAGCGCAAUCCCAAGACCAAGCGCGCGCCGGCGCCGCCGCCGAAACCGUCCGCCGCCGAUGCUGACUCCAUCGCGGGACAGAAGCUCCCGGAGCCCCUCGGCGUACAUCCCGCCGCCAAAGCUGAGUCCGAUGCGGACCACAAGCUCCCGAAGCCCCUUGACGAUAUCCUCAUUGCCCUCAUCCGGCAGCGCAACCCUGAUAAGCUGGUCUCCGAGUUCGUCCAAGCGUCAACCGUGUCGUCGCGCUUCCGCGAGCGGCACCGCGUGUACGAGGUAGCGGUGAGCCGCCUCACUUCCUUCGGCCGCCAAGACGGCAUCGAGGCCAUCAUCGAAGCGCAGAAGCCCUUCCUCGAGACCUCAGACGAGGGAUUCGCCGCGCGCCUCAUCCGCCUCUACGGCCGUGCCUCCAUGCCAUCCCACGCUACCGCAACCUUCCAUGAACUUCCCGCGCAGCAUAAAUCCACCAUGACAUUCAACGCCCUUCUUGCAGCGUACGCCGAAGCCGGGGAUUUCGAUGGGCUCACUGCUGCAUUCCAGGAGAUCCCAGCCACCCACCCCUCGGUUGUUCCCAGCGUAUACUCUUACAACAUACUCAUCCGCUCAUUGUGCCAGAAGCCUGACCUCUCAGCUGCUCUUGAUGUUGUUCUUCUCAUGGAGAAGCACGGUGUUUCAGCUGACAUUAUUACUUUCAACACUCUGUUGAAUGGGUUUUGUAACAAUGGCCCCACGGAUGAAGCAGAGACAGUAUGGGAGAUGAUGAAGGAGAGGAAUUUGGAGCCAGAUGCAAAGUGCUACAAUGCCAAGCUGCGGGGUUUGGUUGCAGAAGGGAGGAUUGAUGAUGCAGCUGCUGUGCUUGAGGGAUUGGAGAAGGACGGGCCAAAACCCGAUACGGUGUCCUACAAUGAGUUGAUUCGAGGAUAUUGCAAAGCGGGGAGGUUACAGGAGGCCAAGAAGCUGUAUGAUGAUUUGGCAAAAAAUCACUGUGCCGCAAAUAAGGGAACAUAUGAGACUCUCGUGCCACACCUUCUGCAGGCUGGAGACCUGGAUUGUGCACUGAGGUACUGCUAUGAAAUGUUUAGUGGUAAAAGGAGCGGUAGAGUGGAGUGUGGUGUGCUGCAGGAUGUAGUGAAUGCAUUGGUAGAUGCAUCGAGGGUGGAGGAGGCUGGCAAGCUUGUUGAUAUCGGGCGGAAGAAACACGAAAGGGUUUGA